CGGGUGAGUAACACGUGAGUGACCUGCCUUUUAGACUGGAACAACUUACCGAAAGGUGAGCUAAUGCCGGAUGAGUUAUAUAAGUGCAUGUUUAUGUAGGAAAAGUUGGGGAGACCUGACGCUGAAAGAUGGACUCGCGUCCCAUUAGCUAGUUGGUAGGGUAAUGGCCUACCAAGGCGACGAUGGGUAGCCGGCCUGAGAGGGUGGCCGGCCACACUGGGACUGAGACACGGCCCAGACUCCUACGGAAGGCAGCAG
rnacentral:rRNA from 1 species